rnacentral:rRNA from 1 species
GUUGUCCGGAAUUACUGGGCGUAAAGAGCUCGUAGGUGGUUUGUCGCGUUGUUCGUGAAAUCUCACGGCUUAACUGUGAGCGUGCGGGCGAUACGGGCAGACUUGAGUACUGCAGGGGAGACUGGAAUUCCUGGUGUAGCGGUGGAAUGCGCAGAUAUCAGGAGGAACACCGGUGGCGAAGGCGGGUCUCUGGGCAGUAACUGACGCUGAGGAGCGAAAGCGUGGGGAGCGAACGGGAUUAGAUACCCUGGUAGUCCACGCCGUAAACGGUGGGUACUAGGUGUGGGUUUCCUUCCUUGGGAUCCGUGCCGUAGCUAACGCAUUAAGUACCCCGCCUGGGGAGUACGGCCGCAAGGCUAAAACUCAAAGAAAUUGACGGGGGCCCGCACAAGCGGCGGAGCAUGUGGAUUAAUUCGAUGCAACGCGAAGAACCUUACCUGGGUUUGACAUGCACAGGACGCCGGCAGAGAUGUCGGUUCCCUUGUGGCCUGUGUGCAGGUGGUGCAUGGCUGUCGUCAGCUCGUGUCGUGAGAUGUUGGGUUAAGUCCCGCAACGAGCGCAACCCUUGUCUCAUGUUGCCAGCAGGUAAGGCUGGGCACUCUAAGGAGACUGCCCACGAAAGUGGGAGGAAGGCGGGGAUGACGUCUGAUCCGCAUGGCCCUUACGACCUGGGCUACACACGUGCUACAAUGGGUGGAUCAAAGCGAAGCUACCUUGCAAGAGGACGCCAAUCGCAUAACCCCAUCCUCAGUUCGGAUUGAGGUCUGCAACCCGGCCUCAUGAAGCUGGAA